UCAAAAAUAGUACAUUUACUGGAUGUCAUGCUUAUCUUUAAAAGUAUUCUACCAUUACAUUGCAUCAAAUGCUAUAUUACUCGUCACAUGCCAUAUUUUCAUCUGCUAGAUGCUCCUAAGAACACCUCAGUGUCAGUCAGUCCCUCUGGAUCAGUGAUAGAGGACAGCUCUGUGACUCUGACCUGCAGCAGUAAAGCCAACCCAGCAGUGCAGAACUACAUCUGGUAUAAAGUGAAUGGGACAGAGAUGAACACUGUAGGAACUGGACAGAAUCUCACCUUCAAUGUGACUGAGUCCAGUGGCAGUGAACAGUACUACUGUGAAGCACAGAAUGAACAUGGCAAGGAGAACUCAACAACUGUACGGCUGAAUGUGAUAUACAUGCCUCAGAUCUCUGGCUCUGGGAGCUGCAGCAGAACUGCAGCAGAGAUCAGCUGCUCCUGUGAGAGCCGUGGGAAUCCCUCUCCCAGCAUGGAGUGGCGUGAGUCUGGACUGCGGGUCACUAAUUCUACUGACAGAGUCAUCAGGGAGGAGCAGCUGGGGAACACAGGCCUGAGGAGCUCCCUCACCAUGCGCCAAUCACAGGGAGACAUGCCCACUCUCAUCUGCAUCAGCACCAACACUCUCGGCUCCUCCAGCCUCCAGCUCCACCUCCCGUCUCCACAGCAACACUCAGGUUUUGACAUUACCGCACUGCUGAUUGCUGCAGCUGCCGGUGCUGGUGCCAUGAUGAUGACAUGCCUCAUAAUGCAGCACAUUCUAAAGAAGAAGAGACACAGCCAGCGCUCUGGAAGUAGAAUGAAGGACAGCGAAGGGAUCAUACUGUCAGAUGGGACGGCCGCUCAAGGUGAGGAAUCGAUCCACGCCAACAAGACCAUGCUGCCGGGCACAGGUGCGGUGGAAAAGGGGGAUGAGGGCGCCCUGCACUAUGCCACCGUGGAUUUCUCCAAACUUCACGGCACGGGUGGGGAACACGGAACGGGCAUCGUCCGGGGCACUUCCAAAGGGACGCCCAACUACGCCAUGAUCCGACACAAAUCCAGGGAUGAGAGAGAAGGAGGAGAGGAAGAAGGUGGUGGGGCAAAGGAGGAGGUGGGGAAGGAGGGCCAAGCUGAGCUGGGCACAGAGAGGGAGUGGGCCGAGGAGAGGGGCGAGAAGGAGGAGGAGUCUCGGCCGAAUCUGAGCCCACAGGCCUCCGUCAACCCUGAGCCCACGGAGAGGGCCACCUACGGGAACAUCUGCCCCUCCAGGCCCACUAAGAGGGCACGGCAGGGACUGCAGCAGCCGCCCGGGAACCCUGCUGCAGAGGAGGAGCAGGAGGAGCAGCGCCAGGAGGAGAACUCAGCAGGAGGCCAGGAGGACAUGUACGUGGACGCCAUGAGCCCCCUGAUGGAGGGUAACGGAAAGGGAACAGAGGAGAGUGAGUACGCCGUGGUCAGGAAGCCCAAAUAAGUCACCAUGGAGAUAGGCCAACUCAUCACACCACGCUGCACUCUCAUAAUGCCAAGAUAUUGCUUUACAGCACGAUACAUAACGUGCGUUAUGUUGCAGUACAGAUGUUACGCUAGAUUACGCCGUCAUACUGUUAUCCACAAUCUUCCAGGCACUGUAGUAGGACCAUGCACAUACACAUUGCCAUGUGUUCUUUUCAGUACGCUAUGUUACAUUACGAUAGCUUACACGUUGUCACCUUAUGUUACAUUAGCAUAUAGAAGUUGGCAGUAUUUUUACUUACAAUGUGUUACAUUAUAAUGGCGCUUUACAUCGUGUUACCUUACAUUACGUUUAACAGCAUGUUCACUUGCGGUGUGUUACAUUACGUUAUGUUAGCAUACAAAAUUAACAGUUUUUUUUUAAAGUGUACGGCUCUUCACAAUGUGUUACAUACCACCAAUUAUGUAAUGUUUACGUUACAGUGUUACCGUUAUACUACCAGCGGUGACUGUUUUUUUCCAUGUUUGUGAGCAAGCCAUUGUGUGAGGAGUCACAUUAUGGUCCAUUACUUAGCGAUGUUACUUUGCUGUGUGUUACCUUACAUUGCAUUACCGCUUGUCGUAUUUAACCACACAGACGUUAUUCACAACAGCUGUGUGGGCUUUUGAACCUGAGUCCUGUGGUGGAGUCAGACCAACUGUCUGGACUGCCAGUGAGAUUACACAAAACGUCUUCUCAUUUCCUGUUUAAUAUUCAUUAAGUCAUUAAUAUAUAUAUAUAUAUAUUUUUUUUUAAUCGCUGUAAAUUAUAUUGAUAUCUUUUGCUGGUUUUGAGAAUGCGUGCCAUUGUGCUCGUUCUGAUAUUAAAUAUGUGUUUUAAUAUCUCAUGUUCAUAAUGUCUGUCACUCAGAGUUUGGAUUGUUAUUCAGUGAUAGGCAGGCCAUAAGGGUUUUCAAAGGCUGAUCCUGCAGUUGCAAUGACCGUGAUCAUGUAACACUGCUGCAACUUCCGUUUGUGGAAAUUGCACUCACAGUGGAAGUAUGUUGAUUUGUUGUAACAUAAUUAACAGUGCCUUGUAUUUAACUGCAUAAGAAAAAGAAAAGCUAAAUCUGUCACGUGUAUUUAUUAUAUUUAAUAAAUGUUGCACAUUUACAUUGCUGUCGAUCUGAAUCAACAGGAGUUUUGGCCACUUGUUUGCCACACACCGUAAUUGGUUGAAUAAAAACAUUGUAUUUUUGUUUA